UCAGUUUGGGAGGGUAGCUUCCCUUGAGACUCAUAUUUGCUCAUUGAGGAGGCCAUUUGACUCACCUGUUUCUCAAGACUUUGCACAGUAUUUGCUAAAUUUUGCACAAUCUCUUCAAGAGGUACUUUGGAGUUCUGAGGUGCAGCUUGAGCUUGAUUCCUUUGCUGAUAGCUUGGAUAUUGAUUUCCCCUUGCAUAGCUAAAAUUUGGAUGGUCCCUCCAACCUGGAUUAUAAGUAUUUGCAUAGGGAUCAUACCUUCUUUGCCCAUUGAAAC
rnacentral:lncRNA from 1 species